UUCUCUAUCUCCUCAUCCUAACUAAUAAAAAAAAGAAAAAUCAUAUUCUUCAAGUAGAGAAUCCACAAUCCCCAAAUUUUCAAUUUUACCCUAAUUUAUUGUGCUCUGACCACCACGCACGAACCCGCCGACUGCGAGUCAACCCACCGACGAUCGACAGAAAACCCACAUGUAGAUGGAGUGAAAAUAGAAGAUGAUGAAGGAAACAGAGAGAAGACACUCGAGAUGGAGUGAUGAGAGGAUGAUGCCAGUGGCUAAUCUCAAGUUUCUUUUCGCAAGUCAAGCUCUCCGACACCACAACUGCGUCUAUGGUCGCCCUCUCCGACGCUGCCGCUGCGUUUUGCCUCUGUUCGCCUCCUCUCAAGACAGGGGCGAUGGUUGGAACCACAAGCCGUGUUGCCAUCGGUGAUGAUGAAGCUGAGUGAGGGUCUGAUGCUUUUGAAAACUCUAAAAAGGGUUCGUACUUGGCCCAGUGGCUAACAAUUUAGAUUCAAGGAGAAAGAAGAUGCGGUAUGUGCUAAUAACAUGAAGUGUUGUGAGCAGAUCAGGCAACAGAGUAACAACAUGUAGUAUAUGUUUUCUCCUUAAAGCUUGUGGACUUCGAGUUACUUCUAUAAAAAUUGAUCCUUAUAUAAAUACUGGUGCUGGAACCAUGUCUCUGUUUGAGCAUCGUGAAGUCUUUGUCUUGGACGAUGUUUGUGAGGUAUAUAAAAUGAGUUCAAUCAUCUUGUGGUUAGGUCUCUAAUGUUGUGUUAUUGGUUUGAUACCCUGUACCCCCACUUUUACUGAUUCAGUUAAGAAAUGAUGUAAAACAUGUUUUCUUUUUUUUUUGUUGCUUUUUGUGUCGUUGGUUCUUGUAAGAAUAUAGGGGAUGAGCGUCUCAAAUUGCUUUAUUAAUGUACUUAGUUCUUACUAGUUGGCAAAAAUUGUUUCAUGAACA